AUUGAACGCUGGCGGCAUGCCUAACACAUGCAAGUCGAACGCGAAAGGGGGCAACCCUGAGUAGAGUGGCGGACGGGUGAGUAACGCAUCGGAAUUUACCCUGUCGUGGGGGAUAACCAAGGGAAACUUUGGCUAAUACCGCAUGAUCUGGUGACAGCAAAGCGGGGACCUGCAAGGGCCUCGCGCGAGUGGGAUGAGCCGAUGUCUGAUUAGCUAGUUGGUAGGAAAGGCCUACCAAGGCGACGAUCAGUAGCUGGUCUGAGAGGAUGAUCAGCCACACUGGGACUGAGACACGGCCCAGACUCCUACGGGAGGCAGCAGU
rnacentral:rRNA from 1 species